rnacentral:rRNA from 1 species
UUAAGCGACUAAGCGUACACGGUGGAUGCCCUGGCAGUCAGAGGCGAUGAAGGACGUGCUAAUCUGCGAUAAGCGUCGGUAAGGUGAUAUGAACCGUUAUAACCGGCGAUUUCCGAAUGGGGAAACCCAGUGUGUUUCGACACACUAUCAUUAACUGAAUCCAUAGGUUAAUGAGGCGAACCGGGGGAACUGAAACAUCUAAGUACCCCGAGGAAAAGAAAUCAACCGAGAUUCCCCCAGUAGCGGCGAGCGAACGGGGAGCAGCCCAGAGCCUGAAUCAGUGUGUGUGUUAGUGGAAGCGUCUGGAAAGGCGCGCGAUACAGGGUGACAGCCCCGUACACAAAAAUGCACAUGCUGUGAGCUCGAUGAGUAGGGCGGGACACGUGGUAUCCUGUCUGAAUAUGGGGGGACCAUCCUCCAAGGCUAAAUACUCCUGACUGACCGAUAGUGAACCAGUACCGUGAGGGAAAGGCGAAAAGAACCCCGGCGAGGGGAGUGAAAAAGAACCUGAAACCGUGUACGUACAAGCAGUGGGAGCACAGAGCAAUCUGUGUGACUGCGUACCUUUUGUAUAAUGGGUCAGCGACUUAUAUUCUGUAGCAAGGUUAACCGAAUAGGGGAGCCGAAGGGAAACCGAGUCUUAACUGGGCGUUAAGUUGCAGGGUAUAGACCCGAAACCCGGUGAUCUAGCCAUGGGCAGGUUGAAGGUUGGGUAACACUAACUGGAGGACCGAACCGACUAAUGUUGAAAAAUUAGCGGAUGACUUGUGGCUGGGGGUGAAAGGCCAAUCAAACCGGGAGAUAGCUGGUUCUCCCCGAAAGCUAUUUAGGUAGCGCCUCGUGAAUUCAUCUCCGGGGGUAGAGCACUGUUUCGGCAAGGGGGUCAUCCCGACUUACCAACCCGAUGCAAACUGCGAAUACCGGAGAAUGUUAUCACGGGAGACACACGGCGGGUGCUAACGUCCGUCGUGAAGAGGGAAACAACCCAGACCGCCAGCUAAGGUCCCAAAGUCAUGGUUAAGUGGGAAACGAUGUGGGAAGGCCCAGACAGCCAGGAUGUUGGCUUAGAAGCAGCCAUCAUUUAAAGAAAGCGUAAUAGCUCACUGGUCGAGUCGGCCUGCGCGGAAGAUGUAACGGGGCUAAACCAUGCACCGAAGCUGCGGCAGCGACGCUUAUGCGUUGUUGGGUAGGGGAGCGUUCUGUAAGCCUGCGAAGGUGUGCUGUGAGGCAUGCUGGAGGUAUCAGAAGUGCGAAUGCUGACAUAAGUAACGAUAAAGCGGGUGAAAAGCCCGCUCGCCGGAAGACCAAGGGUUCCUGUCCAACGUUAAUCGGGGCAGGGUGAGUCGACCCCUAAGGCGAGGCCGAAAGGCGUAGUCGAUGGGAAACAGGUUAAUAUUCCUGUACUUGGUGUUACUGCGAAGGGGGGACGGAGAAGGCUAUGUUGGCCGGGCGACGGUUGUCCCGGUUUAAGCGUGUAGGCUGGUUUUCCAGGCAAAUCCGGAAAAUCAAGGCUGAGGCGUGAUGACGAGGCACUACGGUGCUGAAGCAACAAAUGCCCUGCUUCCAGGAAAAGCCUCUAAGCAUCAGGUAACAUCAAAUCGUACCCCAAACCGACACAGGUGGUCAGGUAGAGAAUACCAAGGCGCUUGAGAGAACUCGGGUGAAGGAACUAGGCAAAAUGGUGCCGUAACUUCGGGAGAAGGCACGCUGAUAUGUAGGUGAAGUCCCUCGCGGAUGGAGCUGAAAUCAGUCGAAGAUACCAGCUGGCUGCAACUGUUUAUUAAAAACACAGCACUGUGCAAACACGAAAGUGGACGUAUACGGUGUGACGCCUGCCCGGUGCCGGAAGGUUAAUUGAUGGGGUCAGCGCAAGCGAAGCUCUUGAUCGAAGCCCCGGUAAACGGCGGCCGUAACUAUAACGGUCCUAAGGUAGCGAAAUUCCUUGUCGGG